CCUACGGUGGGCAGCAGUGGGGGAUAUUGCACAAUGGGGGAACCCCUGCUGCAGCGACGCCGCGGGUGGGAAGACGGUCCUCUGGAUUGUAAACCACUGUCCCCAGGGACGAAGAUGACGGUACCUGGGGAGGAAGCUCCGGCUAACUACGUGCCAGCAGCCGCGGUAAUACGUAGGGAGCGAGCGUUGUCCGGAAUUACUGGGUGUAAAGGGAGCGUAGGCGGGACUGCAAGUUGGGUGUCAAAUCUACCGGCUCAACCGGUAGCCGCACUCAAAACUGCAGUUCUUGAGUGAAGUAGAGGCAGGCGGAAUUCCUAGUGUAGCGGUGAAAUGCGUAGAUAUUAGGAGGAACACCAGUGGCGAAGGCGGCCUGCUGGGCUUUUACUGACGCUGAGGCUCGAAAGUGUGGGGAGCAAACAGGAUUAGAUACCCUAGUAGUC
rnacentral:rRNA from 1 species